rnacentral:rRNA from 1 species
UACAGAGGUGGCAAGCGUUGUUCGGAAUUACUGGGCGUAAAGGGCGCGUAGGCGGCCAUCUAAGUCAGACGUGAAAUCCCCCGGCUUAACCUGGGAACUGCGUCUGAUACUGGACGGCUUGAGUAUGGGAGAGGGAUGUAGAAUUCCAGGUGUAGCGGUGAAAUGCGUAGAUAUCUGGAGGAAUACCGGUGGCGAAGGCGGCAUCCUGGACCAUUACUGACGCUGAGGCGCGAAAGCGUGGGGAGCGAUCCGG